rnacentral:rRNA from 1 species
GACGAACGCUGGCGGCGUGCUUAACACAUGCAAGUCGAACGGUGAAGCGCCUUCCUUUUUGGUGGGUGUGGAUGAGUGGCGAACGGGUGAGUAACACGUGAGCAACCUGCCCCCUCCUUCUGGAUAACCGCAUGAAAGUGUGGCUAAUACGGGAUAUUCUGGGUCUGUCGCAUGAUGGGUCUGGGAAAGAUAUUGUUUCGGUGGGGGAUGGGCUCGCGGCCUAUCAGCUUGUUGGUGGGGUGAUGGCCUACCAAGGCGGUGACGGGUAGCCGGCCUGAGAGGGUGGACGGUCACACUGGGACUGAGACACGGCCCAGACUCCUACGGGAGGCAGCAGGGGGAAAUAUUGCACAGUGGGAGCAAGCCUGAUGCAGCGACGCCGCGUGAGGGAUGGAGGCCUGCGGGUUGUGAACCUCUUUCGCCAGUGAAGCAGGCCUGCCUCGUUUGUGGGUGGGUUGACGGUAGCUGGAUAAGAAGCGCCGGCUAACUACGUG